GUGCCAGCCGCCGCGGUAAGACGAACCGUGCGAACGUUGUUCGGAAUCACUGGGCUUAAAGGGCGCGUAGGCGGGCAAGCAAGUCCGGGGUGAAAUCUUUCGGCCCAACCGGAAAAGGGCCUCGGAUACUGCUUGUCUUGAGGGAGGUAGGGGCCUGUGGAACUUCUGGUGGAGCGGUGAAAUGCGUUGAUAUCAGAAGGAACGCCGGUGGCGAAAGCGACAGGCUGGCCCUCUUCUGACGCUGAGGCGCGAAAGCUAGGGGAGCAAACGGGAUUAGAAACCCCAGUAGUCC
rnacentral:rRNA from 1 species